rnacentral:rRNA from 1 species
UACGGGGGGGGCAAGCGUUGUUCGGAAUUACUGGGCGUAAAGGGCUCGUAGGCGGCCAACUAAGUCAGACGUGAAAUCCCUCGGCUUAACCGGGGAACUGCGUCUGAUACUGGAUGGCUUGAAUCCGGGAGAGGGAUGCGGAAUUCCAGGUGUAGCGGUGAAAUGCGUAGAUAUCUGGAGGAACACCGGUGGCGAAGGCGGCAUCCUGGACCGGCAUUGACGCUCAGGCACGAAAGCGUGGGGAGCAACAGG